UGAAGCAGGGGCCCCGCAUGGGGAUAUUUGCUAAAGAUUCAUCGCUGAUAGAUAGGCAUGCGUUCCAUUAGGCAGUUGGCGGGGUAACGGCCCACCAAACCGACGAUGGAUAGGGGUUCUGAGAGGAAGGUCCCCCACAUUGGUACUGAGACACGGACCAAACUCCUACGGGAGGCAGCAGUGAGGAAUAUUGGUCAAUGGGCGUAAGCCUGAACCAGCCAAGUCGCGUGAGGGAUGAAGGUUCUAUGGAUCGUAAACCUCUUUUAUAAGGGAAUAAAGUGCGGGACGUGUCCCGUUUUGUAUGUACCUUAUGAAUAAGGAUCGGCUAACUCCGUGCCAGCAGCCGCGGUAAUACGGAGGAUCCGAGCGUUAUCCGGAUUUAUUGGGUUUAAAGGGUGCGUAGGCGGCCUUUUAAGUCAGCGGUGAAAGUCUGUGGCUCAACCAUAGAAUUGCCGUUGAAACUGGGGGGCUUGAGUAUGUUUGAGGCAGGCGGAAUGCGUGGUGUAGCGGUGAAAUGCUUAGAUAUCACGCAGAACCCCGAUUGCGAAGGCAGCCUGCCAAGCCAUGACUGACGCUGAUGCACGAAAGCGUGGGGAUCAAACAGGAUUAGAUACCCUGGUAGUCCACGCAGUAAACGAUGAUCACUAGCUGUUUGCGAUACACUGUAAGCGGCACAGCGAAAGCGUUAAGUGAUCCACCUGGGGAGUACGCCGGCAACGGUGAAACUCAAAGGAAUUGACGGGGGCCCGCACAAGCGGAGGAACAUGUGGUUUAAUUCGAUGAUACGCGAGGAACCUUACCCGGGUUUGAACGCAUUCGGACCGAGGUGGAAACACCUUUUCUAGCAAUAGCCGUUUGCGAGGUGCUGCAUGGUUGUCGUCAGCUCGUGCCGUGAGGUGUCGGCUUAAGUGCCAUAACGAGCGCAACCCUUGCCACUAGUUACUAACAGGUAAAGCUGAGGACUCUGGUGGGACUGCCAGCGUAAGCUGCGAGGAAGGCGGGGAUGACGUCAAAUCAGCACGGCCCUUACAUCCGGGGCGACACACGUGUUACAAUGGCGUGGACAAAGGGAUGCCACCUGGCGACAGGGAGCGAAUCCCCAAACCACGUCUCAGUUCGGA
rnacentral:rRNA from 1 species